UACGUAGGGUGCAAGCGUUUGUCCGGAAUUAUUGGGCGUAAAGAGCUCGUAGGUGGCGGGUCACGUCGGGUGUGAAAGCCCGGGGCUCAACCCCGGGUCUGCAUUCGAUACGGGUCUGCUAGGGUCCGGCAGGGGAGACUGGGAAUUCCUGGUGUAGCGGUGAAAUGACGCAGAUAUCAGGAGGAACACCGGUGGCGAAGGCGGGUCUCUGGGCCGGUACCGACGCUGGAGGAGCGAAAGCGUGGGGAGCGAACAGG
rnacentral:rRNA from 1 species